GACCGUGUGCAGUGGGGUUGCUGUGGCCGAUAAAGUUUAUCUGAGGCGCAGUUAUUGCUAGUUGACAGCUAUACUUGGA
rnacentral:snRNA from 1 species